AUUGAACGCUGGCGGCAGGCCUAACACAUGCAAGUCGAGCGAGCGGCGGACGGGUGAGUAAUGUCUGGGAAACUGCCUGAUGGAGGGGGAUAACUACUGGAAACGGUAGCUAAUACCGCAUACCCUCAGAUGUGCCCAGAUGGGAUUAGCUAGUAGGUGGGGUAACGGCUCACCUAGGCGACGAUCCCUAGCUGGUCUGAGAGGAUGACCAGCCACCCUGGAACGGAGACACGUUCCAGACUCCUGCGGGGGGCAGCAGGGGUGAAUAUUGCACAAGGGGCGCAAGCGUGAGGCAACCAUGCCGCGUGUGUGAAGAAGGCCUUCGGGUUGUAAAGCACUUUCAGCGGGGAGGCGUUACCCGCAGAAGAAGCACCGGCUAACUCCGUGCCAGCAGCCGCGUAAUAC
rnacentral:rRNA from 1 species